rnacentral:lncRNA from 1 species
GAUGGUGGUACUACCCCAAGCCUACCAAGAAUCAAACCUUAGGCUUUGUUGUCUCAUUAACAUAUGUUCCCGUAGAUUGAGGGGGAAAAGGAAUUAUGCACACUUUCACUUUCCCAUGAAUCCUACUAAGAAGUUGAACUCUCUUGUAACAUUUCUGGAAUUUGCAUACAACUCAAAAAAUAUUUUCACUUAACGCCAGCGUAACUAAACCCAACUACCACAAAGAAUGCAAGUUCUAGAAGCAUGAGGAUGUUUGUGCAAUAUUAAAUACUACUCCCUCCGUCCCAUAAUAUAAGAACGUUUUUGACACUAGUAACGUUCUUAUAUUAUGGGACGGAGGGAGUACCUCUGUUCCUAAAUAUAAGAAGUUUUGGCAGUUUAAACUUAACCAACGAGACAUCUUAUAUAUAGAAACAGAGGGUGUAAUAAAUAGGACAACAAACGCUUGCAGCUUUUGGAGAAUGAGAGAGAUUAGCACUGAA